rnacentral:misc_RNA from 1 species
GAAAUGCGAUACGUAGUGUGAAUUGCAGAAUUCAGUGAAUCAUCGAAUCUUUGAACGCACAUUGCGCCCUUUGGUAUUCCAAAGGGCAUGCCUGUUCGAGCGUCAUUUGUACCCUCAAGCUUUGCUUGGUGUUGGGCGUUUUUUGUCUUUGGCUCACCCAAAGACUCGCCUUAAAACGAUUGGCAGCCGGCCUACUGGUUUCGCAGCGCAGCACAUUUUUGCGCUUGCAAUCAGCAAAAGAGGACGGCAAUCCAUCAAGACUCCUUCUCACGUUUGACCUCGGAUCAGGUAGGGAUACCCGCUGAACUUAAGC